rnacentral:rRNA from 1 species
UACGUAGGGGGCUAGCGUUAUCCGGAAUUACUGGGCGUAAAGGGUGCGUAGGUGGUUUCUUAAGUCAGAGGUGAAAGGCUACGGCUCAACCGUAGUAAGCCUUUGAAACUGGGAAACUUGAGUGCAGGAGAGGAGAGUGGAAUUCCUAGUGUAGCGGUGAAAUGCGUAGAUAUUAGGAGGAACACCAGCUGCGAAGGCGGCUCUCUGGACUGUAACUGACACUGAGGCACGAAAGCGUGGGGAGCAAACAGGAUUAGAUACACUGGUAGUCCCU